AACGAACGCUGGCGGCAUGCCUAACACAUGCAAGUCGAACGAGACCUUCGGGUCUAGUGGCGCACGGGUGCGUAACGCGUGGGAACCUGCCCUUAGGUUCGGAAUAACUCCCCGAAAGGUGUGCUAAUACCGGAUAAUGUCUUCGGACCAAAGAUUUAUCGCCUUUGGAUGGGCCCGCGUUGGAUUAGCUAGUUGGUAGGGUAAAAGCCUACCAAGGCGACGAUCCAUAGCUGGUCUGAGAGGAUGAUCAGCCACGCUGGGACUGAGACACGGCCCAGACUCCGACGGGGGGGAGGAGUGGAGAGUAUUGGAGGCUGGGCGCAAGCCGGAUAAAGCCAUGCCGGGGGAGUGAUGAAGGGCUUAGGGUUGUAAAGUUCUUUUACACGGGAUGAUAAUGACAGUACCGGGAGAAUAAGCGCCGGCUAACUCCGUG
rnacentral:rRNA from 1 species